rnacentral:rRNA from 1 species
GCAGUCGAACGGUAACGACACUAGCUUGCUAGUGGUCGACGAGUGGCGGACGGGUGAGUAACGCGUAGGAAUCUACCUAGUAGUGGGGGAUAGCCAAGGGAAACUUUGGGUAAUACCGCAUACGAUCUAAGGAUGAAAGGGGGCCUCUCUUUGAAGCUCUCGCUAUUAGAUGAGCCUGCGUAAGAUUAGCUUGUUGGUGGGGUAAUGGCCCACCAAGGCGACGAUCUUUAGCUGGUCUGAGAGGAUGAUCAGUCACACUGGAACUGAGACACGGUCCAGACUCCUACGGGAGGCAGCAGUCGGGAAUAUUGGACAAUGGGGGAAACCCUGAUCCAGCCAUGCCGCGUGUGUGAAGAAGGCCCUAGGGUUGUAAAGCACUUUUAGUAGUGAGGAAGGCUCAGUAGUUAAUACCUACUGGGAUUGACGUUAGCUACAGAAAAAGCACCGGCUAAUUUCGUGCCAGCAGCCGCGGUAAUACGAAAGGUGCAAGCGUUAAUCGGAAUUACUGGGCGUAAAGCGCGCGUAGGCGGCUUGGUAAGUUGGAUGUGAAAGCCCCGGGCUCAACCUGGGAACUGCAUCCAAAACUGCCUAGCUAGAGUAUGGUAGAGGAUGGCGGAAUUUCCUGUGUAGCGGUGAAAUGCGUAGAUAUAGGAAGGAACAUCAGUGGCGAAGGCGGCCAUCUGGACCAAUACUGACGCUGAGGUGCGAAAGCGUGGGGAGCAAACAGGAUUAGAUACCCUGGUAGUCCACGCCGUAAACGAUGAGAACUAGCCGUUGGACAUCUUGCAUGUUUAGUGGCGCAGCUAACGCGAUAAGUUCUCCGCCUGGGGAGUACGGCCGCAAGGUUAAAACUCAAAUGAAUUGACGGGGGCCCGCACAAGCGGUGGAGCAUGUGGUUUAAUUCGACGCAACGCGAAGAACCUUACCUACACUUGACAUCCUCGGAACUUUCUAGAGAUAGAUUGGUGCCUUCGGGAACCGAGUGACAGUGCU